ACCAAAUUUUAAUUACAUGUAUAAAAUAUUUUAUGCCCAAUAAAUAAAAUGUACAUGUUCAGACGAUUUGGGAAAAUAAUAUGAAAAUUAUUAAUUUAUAAAAUUAUUUCAAAUGUUAUAUUUGUUAUAAUUAAUACAUUCUAUAAAUUAAUAUUAUUUUCGUCGCUUAUCACCUUAGCAUGCAUUUAUUGUUUGUUCCUUUAUUAAUAUAUAAUAAAAAUAUAUACAAUUAAUGUUUUUGGACAUUUCUUGUAUAUCUCUUUAUUAUUAUUUAUGAAUGAAUAAAUAAGACGGCAAUAUUUAUGACCAUGAUCAUUAAAUGCAUUGAGUCAUAAAAGCGGAACAAAA